UACGAAGGGGGCUAGCGUUGUUCGGAUUUACUGGGCGUAAAGCGCACGUAGGCGGAUUGGUCAGUUAGAGGUGAAAUCCCGAAGCUCAACUUCGGAACUGCCUUUAAUACUGCCAGUCUAGAGUCCGGAGGAGGUAAGUGGAACUCCUAGUGUAGAGGUGGAAUUCGUAGAUAUUAGGAAGAACACCAGUGGCGAAGGCGGCUUACUGGUCCGGUACUGACGCUGAGGUGCGAAAGCGUGGGGAGCAAACAGG
rnacentral:rRNA from 1 species